CCGAGUUUAGGAUCGCAAGAUCCAACUCCCACCCUUUGUUUAUGUCGUCUUCGGCAAGACGUUUUGGAGGCGUCAAGCCAACAAGCCACUGGCGUUGAGCGAGUGAGUGCUUGCCGAAGUUUUUCAAAACUCUAUUUUGACGUCUGAGUCUACAAAAAAUAAAUUA
rnacentral:misc_RNA from 1 species